CGUAACACGUGAACAACCUGCCCCGGGUGUGGGGGAGUACCCGCCAGAAAUGGCGGUUAAGACCACAUACGAGCGUCUGGCGGAUGGCUGGAUGGGGAAAAGCCUUCGGGCUGCACUGGGAGGGGUCCGCGUCGGAUUAGCUAGUUGGUGGGGUAACGGCCUACCAAGGCUGCGAUCCGUAGCUGGUCUGAGAGGACGGCCAGCCACACUGGGACUGAGACACGGCCCAG
rnacentral:rRNA from 1 species